rnacentral:rRNA from 1 species
GUCGUAACAAGGUUUCCGUAGGUGAACCUGCGGAAGGAUCAUUCACACACGUUGAAUCCACUUUCAUCACCUGAACUUUUCUGUGUGAGUCUUUGCUUGCGGGCCGCAAGGCUAGCUUGUAAGGAUUCAGGGGCGGCCAGGCAGGGGCGGUCUUUGGACUAGCCCCUGUUGUGGUCCGCCGGCUUUUUCAACACACAAUCCUGAUGUGCUUGUUAGCUCGUUGGCUGCACAGCCAAGCGAUAUGAGAGCUUACAACUUUCAGCGACGGAUGUCUCGGCUCAAACAACGAUGAAGGGCGCAGCGAAGUGCGAUAAGCAUUGCGACUUGCAGAAUUCCGUGAACCAACAGAUUCCUGAACGUAUACUGCGCUUUCGGGAUACCCCUGAAAGCAUGUCUACUUCAGUGUCUACUUCGGUCUCAUGCUGUUGAUGGCGGUUCUUGCCGCUGCUAGUCAACAUGCGUCUUUGUGCACCAAGGAGCCUUGUGCCCUUGAUGCAUCCAGUGCAAUGAGCUUGGCCUUGCGAGCAACUAACAGAACGCCUUCUGGCGCAUUGUCUGCUGCUCUGCAUUGUCGUGGCUCUGCUUUCAUCGGUGCUUCGGCUCCGUUGUCCUGACAUGAAGUUAGGUCAGCAAACCCGCUGAAUUUAAGCAUAUAAGUAAGCGGUGGAUAAGAAACUAAAUAGGAUUCCCUUAGUAAUGGCGAAUGAACAGGGAUGAGCUCAGCAUUAAAAUCUGGGCCCUCGGCCUUGAAUUGUAAUCUCGAGAAGUGCAACCAACGGCGGCGCAGGUGUAAGCCUCUUGGAAAAGAGCACCAAUGAGGGUGAGAGUCCCGUUUGUCAUCUGCAGUCCUCCGUGUACGGUGUGCUUUCUAAGAGUCACGUUCCUCGGGCUUGGAGCGCCAAAGGUGGUAAAUUUCAUCUAAAGCUAAAUAUAGGUUUGAGACCGAUAGCAAACAAGUACCAUGAGGGAAAGAUGAAAAGGACUUUGGAAAGAGAGUUAAAAGUGCCUGAAAUCGCUGAAAGGGAAGCGAAUGGAACCAGUGUUUCUUGUGGAGCUUGCUGGGCGUAAUCUGGAUGGGGCUCUGUUUCAGCGCAAGCGUCUCAGGGUUCUUUGAAGGUGCUCGCUUGGUGCUGCUCUGCUUGCUUGUCAACGUCAAUUUGGAGUUGAGGAAAACUCGGGGAAAAUGGAAGCCUCCUUACGGGGGGGUGAACGUUCCUUGUAGAACUCAUCUCUGGAUUGAAGUGCUUGCGUUUGGUUGCAAUGCCUCACUCUGUGCCAGCUGCCCUGGUAAAUUCAGCAGGUGCGCGGCGCUAACCAGUGGGCGCAUUCCUUGACGCUACGAUGCUGACAAAAUGGUUUCACUCGACCCGUCUUGAAACACGGACCAAGGAGUCUAACAUAUGUGCAAGUUCCCGGGUGGUUAAACCUGUUGGCGUAAUGAAAGUGACUGCUGGGAUUUUUGCACCAGCAACCGACUGACCAAUUGAGAGAGGUUUGAGUAUGAGCACAUCUGUUAGGACCCGAAAGAUGGUGAACUAUGCGUGA